rnacentral:rRNA from 1 species
CCCUUAGAUGUUCUGGGCCGCACGCGCGCUACAAUGAUGAAUUCAACGAGUUUAUAACCUUGGUUGAAAAGCCUGGGUAAUCUUUUGAACUUUCGUCGUGAUGGGGCUAGACCCUUGCAAUUAUUGGUCUCCAACGAGGAAUUCCUAGUAAACGCAAGUCAUCAGCUUGCAUUGAUUACGUCCCUGCCCUUUGUACACACCGCCCGUCGCGCCUACCGAUUGAAUGGUCCGGUGAAAUCUUCGGAUUGAGACUUUGAUUUGUUUACUCAAAACGCUGUUUCAAGAAGUUGAUUAAACCUUACCAUUUAGAGGAAGGUGAAGUCGUAACA